AACGAACGCUGGCGGCAUGCCUAACACAUGCAAGUCGAACGAGACCUUCGGGUCUAGUGGCGCACGGGUGCGUAACGCGUGGGAACCUGCCCUUAGGUUCGGAAUAACUCCCCGAAAGGGGUGCUAAUACCGGAUAAUGUCUUCGGACCAAAGAUUUAUCGCCUUUGGAUGGGCCCGCGUUGGAUUAGCUAGUUGGUAGGGUAAAAGCCUACCAAGGCGACGAUCCAUAGCUGGUCUGAGAGGAUGAUCAGCCACACUGGGACUGAGACACGGCCCAGACUACUACGGGAGGGAGGAGUGGGGAAUAUUGGAAAAUGGGCGAAAGGCUGAUCCAGCAAUGGCGCGUGAGUGAUGAAGGGCUUAGGGUUGUAAAGCUCUUUUACCCGGGAUGAUAAUGACAAUACCGGGAGAAUAAGCUCCGGCUAACUCCGUG
rnacentral:rRNA from 1 species